rnacentral:rRNA from 1 species
CUCAUCGCAUCCUGGGGCUGGAGAAGGUCCCAAGGGUCCGGCUGUUCGCCGGUUAAAGCGGUACGCGAGCUGGGUUCAGAACGUCGUGAGACAGUUCGGUCCUUAUCCACUGUGGGCGUAGGAGGCUUGAGGGGUUCCUUCCUUAGUACGAGAGGGCCGGGAAGGACGCACUUCUGGUGUGGCAGUUGUUCCGUCAGGAGCAGCGCUGCGUAGCCAUGUGCGGAAGAGAUAAGCGCUGAAAGCAUCUAAGCGCCAAGCUCCUCCCAAGAUAUGGCCUCCCUCCCGCGCAAGCGGGACUGAAGACCCCCGGAAGACCACCGGGUUGAUAGGUCAGGCGUGUAAGCGCGGUGACGCGUUUAGCGGACUGAUACUAAUAGGUCGUGCGGCUUGAUCGCGCUCAUC